UCNUACGGGAGGCAGCAGUGGGGAAUAUUGCACAAUGGGCGGAAGCCUGAUGCAGCAACGCCGCGUGAGGGAUGACGGCCUUCGGGUUGUAAACCUCUUUUAGCAAGGAAGAAGCUUUUGUGACGGUACUUGCAGAAAAAGCGCCGGCUAACUACGUGCCAGCAGCCGCGGUAAUACGUAGGGCGCAAGCGUUAUCCGGAAUUAUUGGGCGUAAAGAGCUCGUAGGCGGUUUGUCGCGUCUGCUGUGAAAUCCCGAGGCUCAACCUCGGGCCUGCAGUGGGUACGGGCAGACUAGAGUGCGGUAGGGGAGAUUGGAAUUCCUGGUGUAGCGGUGGAAUGCGCAGAUAUCAGGAGGAACACCGAUGGCGAAGGCAGAUCUCUGGGCCGUAACUGACGCUGAGGAGCGAAAGGGUGGGGAGCAAACAGGAUUAGAUACCCUGGUAGA
rnacentral:rRNA from 1 species